UGGGGAAUUUUGGACAAUGGGGGCAACCCUGAUCCAGCCAUGCCGCGUGCGGGAAGAAGGCCUUCGGGUUGUAAACCGCUUUUAGCCGGGAAGAAAAGGCGCAAGACAAUACCUUGCGUUCUUGACGGUACCGGCGGAAUAAGCACCGGCUAACUACGUGCCAGCAGCCGCGGUAAUACGUAGGGUGCGAGCGUUAAUCGGAAUUACUGGGCGUAAAGCGUGCGCAGGCGGUUCGUUAAGUCAGAUGUGAAAGCCCCGGGCUCAACCUGGGAACUGCAUUUGAAACUGGCGGGCUUGAAUGCGGCAGAGGGGGGUGGAAUUCCGCGUGUAGCAGUGAAAUGCGUAGAGAUGCGGAGGAACACCGAUGGCGAAGGCAGCCCCCUGGGCCGACAUUGACGCUCAGGCACGAAAGCGUGGGGAGCAAACAGG
rnacentral:rRNA from 1 species